CAGAGGGUGCGAGCGUUAAUCGGAAUUACUGGGCGUAAAGCGUGCGUAGACGGUUAUCUAAGUCGGAUGUGAAAGCCCGGGGCUCAACCUGGGAAUUGCAUUCGAGACUGAAUAGCUAGGGUGCGGUAGAGGGAAGCGGAAUUUCCGGUGUAGCGGUGAAAUGCGUAGAUAUCGGAAGGAACAUCAGUGGCGAAAGCGGCUUCCUGGACCAGCACCGACGUUCAGGCACGAAAGCGUGGGGAGCAAACAGGAUUAGAUACCCUGGUAGUCCACGCCAUAAACGAUGAGGACUAGACGUUGGAGGGUUAAGCCUUUCAGUGUCGUAGCUAACGCGCUAAGUCCUCCGCCUGGGGAGUACGGCCGCAAGGUUG
rnacentral:rRNA from 1 species